CCAGACUGUCGAGUGGUUUAGGUAGUUUCAUGUUGUUGGGAUUACAUUCAAACUCUGCAACGUGAAACUGUCUUAAUUGCCCCAGUUUCA
rnacentral:pre_miRNA from 8 species